UCAGUWUCCCCACMYCUKGUWUYGAGAMCCGGMCCARAYYYUACGGAGGGCAGCAGUAAGAAUAUUGUCAUGGCGGAGCUGAUCAGCCAUGCGCGKGCAGAGACGCCUACGGUKUAAACUGCUUUWUACGAAUAACUACUUACGKKUAGUAGCUGAUGUACGUAGAUAAGAUCGGCUAACUCCGUGCCAGCAGCGCGGUAAUACGAGAUCCAAGCGUUAUCCGGAUUUAUUGGGUUUAAAGGGUGCGUAGGUGGCCUGUUAAGUCAGGGGUGAAAGACGGUAGCUCAACUAUCGCAGUGCCUUUGAUACUGACGGGCUUGAAUGAACUAGAGGUAGGCGGAAUGUGACAAGUAGCGGUGAAAUGCAUAGAUAUGUCACAGAACACCAAUUGCGAAGGCAGCUUACUAUGGUUUUAUUGACACUGAGGCACGAAAGCGUGGGGAUCAAACAGGAUUAGAUACCCUGGUAGUCCACGCCCUAAACGAUGAAUACUCGAUGUUGGCGAUAUACGGUCAGCGUCUAAGCGAAAGCGUUAAGUAUUCCACCUGGGGAGUACGCCCGCAAGGGUGAAACUCAAAGGAAUUGACGGGGGCCCGCACAAGCGGAGGAGCAUGUGGUUUAAUUCGAUGAUACGCGAGGAACCUUACCCGGGCUUGAAAGUUAGUGAAUGAUACAGAGACGUAUCAGCUCUUCGGAGCACGAAACUAGGUGCUGCAUGGCUGUCGUCAGCUCGUGCCGUGAGGUGUUGGGUUAAGUCCCGCAACGAGCGCAACCCCUAUGUUUAGUUGCCAGCACGUUAAGGUGGGGACUCCAAACAGACUGCCUAUGCAAAUAGAGAGGAAGGAGGGGACGACGUCAAGUCAUCAUGGCCCUUACGUCCGGGGCUACACACGUGCUACAAUGGGCAGUACAGAGGGCAGCUACCUGGCAACAGGAUGCCAAUCUCAAAAAGCUGUUCACAGUUCGGAUCGGGGUCUGCAACUCGACCCCGUGAAGUUGGAUUCGCUAGUAAUCGCAUAUCAGCAAUGAUGCGGUGAAUACGUUCCCGGGCCUUGUACACACCGCCCGUCAAGCCAUGGAAGCUGGAAGUGCCUGAAGUGCGUAACCGCAAGGAGCGUCCUAGGGUAAAGUCGGUAACUGGGGCUAAGUCGUAACAAGGUAACCGUAGAAUCGAAUUCCCGCGGCCGCCAUGGCGGCCGGAGCAUGCGACUCGCCMUA
rnacentral:rRNA from 1 species